GACGGAAGGGCACCACCAGGAGUGGAGCCUGCGGCUUAAUUUGACUCAACGCGGGGAACCUCACCAGGCCCGGACAUAGUCAUGAUUGACAGAUUAAGAGUUCUUUCUCGAUUCUAUGGGUGGUGGUGCAUGGCCGUUCUUAGUCGGUGAGGUGACUUGUCUGGUUAAUUCCGAUAACGGACGAGACCUCGACUUACUAAUUAGGUUGUUUUUACUUUGAGAACAAUCCUUCUUAGAGGGACUUUGGGAGUUUAUUUCAAGGAAGUUCGAGCCCAUAACAGGUCUGUGAUGCCCUUAGAUGGCCUGGGCUGCACGUGCGCUACAAUGAUAAAAUCAGCAAGUAAUGUCCUUUUCCGUUAGGAAUGGGGAAGCUUAGAAAAGUUUGUCGUAAUGGGGAUCGCUCUUUGCAAUUAUAGUGCGUGAACGAGGAAUUCCUAGUAAGGACAAGUCACCAUCUUGUGCUGAUUACGUCCCUGCCCUUUGUACACACCGCCCGUCGCUUCAACCGAUUGGAUGAUCCGGCAAAUUACUUGGACUUUGUUCCUCCUCGUGUUGAGAACAAACGAAAUGUUGUGAGCCUUAUCAUCUAGAGGAUGAAGAAGUCGUAACACGGUAUCCGUAGGUGAACCUGCGGAAGGAUCA
rnacentral:rRNA from 1 species